rnacentral:ribozyme from 1 species
GGAAGAAUGAGAAAAACAAAAAGAAAUCGCAACCAAUGUGCAUUCAAACCAUGGUCACACACGGACGCACACAGAAUAUGCUGUGUUGAUCAUCUUCACCAUUUUUGAUUACGUUUUAUUCUUUUUUUUUCUUUUUUUUUUUGUGAACU